CUAGAGAAGUGUUUUCCGUGUCGGACCGUGCACAAGUUCCCUGGAACGGGGCGUCAUAGAGGGUGAGAAUCCCGUAUAUGGCAUGGACUACCGAUGCUUUUGUGAUACACUCUCAACGAGUCGAGUUGUUUGGGAAUGCAGCUCAAAAUGGGUGGUAAAUUCCAUCUAAAGCUAAAUAUUGGCGAGAGACCGAUAGCGAACAAGUCCCGUGAGGGAAAGAUGAAAAGCACUUUGGAAAGAGAGUGAAACAGUACGUGAAAUUGUUGRAAGGGAAGCGUUUGAAGUCAGUCGUAUCUGGUGGGAUUCAGCCGGGCUUUUGCCAGGUGUACUUCUCGUCCGAUGGGUCAGCAUCAAUUUCGACCGGGGGAAAAAGGCUUGGGGAAUGUGGCUGUC
rnacentral:rRNA from 1 species